rnacentral:rRNA from 1 species
CCUACGGGAGGCAGCAGUGAGGAAUAUUGGUCAAUGGACGCGAGUCUGAACCAGCCAAGUAGCGUGCAGGAUGACUGCCCUAUGGGUUGUAAACUUCUUUUAUAUGGGAGUAAAAUGUUCCACGUGUGGGAGUUUGUAUGUAUCAUACGAAUAAGGAUCGGCUAACUCCGUGCCAGCAGCCGCGGUAAUACGGAGGAUCCGAGCGUUAUCCGGAUUUAUUGGGUUUAAAGGGUGCGUAGGUGGAAUGUUAAGUUAGUUGUGAAAUCUUGGGGCUAAACCGUAAAAUUGCAGUUGAGACUGUCAGUCUUGAGUGCAGUAGAGGUAGGCGGAAUUCAUGGUGUAGCGGUGAAAUGCUUAGAUAUCACACAGAACUCCGAUUGCGAAGGCAGCUCACUGGACU